rnacentral:rRNA from 1 species
UACGGAGGAUCCGAGCGUUAUCCGGAUUUAUUGGGUUUAAAGGGUGCGUAGGCGGCCAAUUAAGUCAGGGGUGAAAUACGGUGGCUCAACCAUCGCAGUGCCUUUGAUACUGAUCGGCUUGAAUCCAUUUGAAGUGGGCGGAAUAAGACAAGUAGCGGUGAAAUGCAUAGAUAUGUCUUAGAACUCCGAUUGCGAAGGCAGCUCACUAAGCUGGUAUUGACGCUGAUGCACGAAAGCGUGGGGAUCGAACAGG